CAUGAUGCAGGACUCAAGUGUGUGUAAACCGUAAAGAUUAGACCAAUGGAUAUCAGAAAAAAGGAGCUCGAUCAGGUGAAGUUUUUGUUUGGUGGGUUGUUAACAAAUUGCAGCUGGGUGUUGCACUGUUGGUACCUUUAAUUCCUUGCUCUUAGCAUCAACAAAGCUAGUCGAACGCCCAGGUCGUGGCCUGAUGUGCUCACCAGCGGCGCUGGAUAUGCCCACUUCCUUUCUCGCGCAACGCCUUCCACCACCGCCUCCAACCUGACCUAGCUCUCCAUUGCUUAACAUCCCCACACUGGGUGUUCCAGGUUGUUGUCUGCCUCUCUCCGUCUCUUGAUUCCCUCUUAUUUUGUCAUGUCCAUGCUACGGCUCAGAGUAGAACCCAGCUUGUUUUUUUCAUGGUCAACAACACAUACUGCUGAAAAUGUUAAUUACCGUCGGCUUGGUGCAAUUAUAGUUUAUGGAUGUUCUCAGAUUUCCUUUUCUUUCGUACAUUUAUUACACACAUGGUGUAGUGAGGGCAAGCAUUUUGAGAACUGAUGUCUUCAUUAGUUAGUUGACCCAUGUAUGUCCUGUGUUUAUCCAACAUUUGGUCCCGUAUUUUUAACUUUGGUGUCUACUUGAGAAAAGGAGGAAAAACUACAAUUCAAAGCCUUUUAUAAAAUGCAUGUCACUUUAUUUUCUAAGAUAUAAAAAUUACUUGAAUUAUCUGUAGCAUACUUCUUUGUCAUAUAAUAUAGGUCUCCCAGGCGAUCUAAACAAAUACGAAGGAUAUAAUUAGGCACAUAUGCCACUUUCUUUGUUAACUUGUAUGAAGAAAAAAGAAAACUUGUAUUAGCAAAAUUGUUCAGUACUGUUAGUCGAGCAGUACACAUGUAUGAACAAAAAACGAACAUGUAUGAACAAAAUCGUCCAAUAGUUUUAUUCGAGCAGUAUAUAGAAAAACCAUCGCCCAAAUGCAUAUGGAGUACUCAAGCUGAACAAGCCAAUUGGAUGGUAGAAUAUGCUAUCAGGCUUAAAGUUUAUAUUGAGGUUUGAAGAGAAAAUAUAGAAAAGUAAGGGCCGAAGGUACUUCAAUUGUAAGUGCAUGCUUACGGAGUUCUAUCAUGCACAAUCAUGUGUGCACACCGGUCUAUCCAGAAGAUUAGCUCGCGACCCUCUCCGCCGGCUCCCCGGGGGUCGCAUCCGGCUUGCCGCAAGUACACCUACGCCGCCGCCUCCCCGGGGGCCGCAAGGUGAAGUGGACGACCGGGGAGAAGCCAUGUGGCGGGGGGCAGGCUCUCAAGUGGGAGACAGCUCGCCUCCCCCAACGACGACAACUUCGACCUCAAGUGGAAGUGGGAGGCCAAGUCCAAGCCUGGCGCCGUUGGCAAGGCCAAAACCAAGUGAGGCACUGAGGAAGCCAACAAGGAUGACAAGAAGAAGCCGGCGAGGAAGUGUGUCCAGAGCAGGGAGAUCCCCGUUGGCUGGACGUCCAGAUCGAGGUACUCAACCUAGCCCUGAAUAUAAUGCCUCGUGACUCCACCCCCGGCUACACCAUUUAUUAUCUAUCCUAUUGUGAUGUGUGUUUUAUUCCUCUCACAUGCAUUCCUUUUUGUGCUUUAUGUGAUUCUGUUUUUGUUCUAAUGCA